rnacentral:rRNA from 1 species
UGGUGGGUAGUUUGACUGGGGCGGUCUCCUCCCAAAGAGUAACGGAGGAGCACGAAGGUUGGCUAAUCCUGGUCGGACAUCAGGAGGUUAGUGCAAUGGCAUAAGCCAGCUUGACUGCGAGCGUGACGGCGCGAGCAGGUGCGAAAGCAGGUCAUAGUGAUCCGGUGGUUCUGAAUGGAAGGGCCAUCGCUCAACGGAUAAAAGGUACUCCGGGGAUAACAGGCUGAUACCGCCCAAGAGUUCAUAUCGACGGCGGUGUUUGGCACCUCGAUGUCGGCUCAUCACAUCCUGGGGCUGAAGUAGGUCCCAAGGGUAUGGCUGUUCGCCAUUUAAAGUGGUACGCGAGCUGGGUUUAGAACGUCGUGAGACAGUUCGGUCCCUAUCUGCCGUGGGCGCUGGAGAAUUGAGGGGGGCUGCUCCUAGUACGAGAGGACCGGAGUGGACGCAUCACUGGUGUUCGGGUUGUCAUGCCAAUGGCACUGCCCGGUAGCUAAAUGCGGAAGAGAUAAGUGCUGAAAGCAUCUAAGCACGAAACUUGCCCCGAGAUGAGUUCUCCCUGAGACUUUAAGUCUCCUGAAGGAACGUUGAAGACGACGACGUUGAUAGGUCGGGUGUGUAAGCGCAGCGAUGCGUUGAGCUAACCGAUACUAAUGAACCGU